GACCUCUCGUAGUAGAAGUUCGGCUCUCGCGGGAGCUCGGUUGAGAUCCAGAAGGCGGUCGACUGUCGUAGAAACUUGGAUAGAGUCUGGUUACUGUAGAAAUCUUGUUGUCGGAGAAGCUCGGAUGCUGACGAAGUUUGAAAGAAGUUCGGAGUAAGGUCGUCCGCGGUCGGAAGAAGUUCGGAAGGGAUUCGGAGAAUAGUUGAUUACUGUAGAAGGUCGGCUAGCAGUAAGGCCCAGAGAGCUUUUGGGGUGGCCCGGUAGAUGAAUGCAGAAGUUCAUUAUCGAAAAAGUUCGGACGGUUGAGGGGGUUCGGAGAGAUGCCA
rnacentral:lncRNA from 1 species